GAAUUUUUCUUUUUUAAUUUUGGGCUUUUUAUUUCUUAUUGGCCUUUUUUUUUUUUUUUUGGUGCUUUCCCUUUUUCUAAUUGGAUUAUAAUUGGUCAUCUUAUUAACUGGAUUAAAAGAACCGGAAGACUCUGAAUCACGGAAUGAGUAAGAGAAUUUUACCUUCGGGCAUUUCAACUUCUGCUCCUGUCUCCCCAUCAUAUGGAGGACGACUUUCUAUAAUGGCAAAGCAAGAUAAAGCACAAAUGGAUUUAACGACGGUUAUACAAGGAAUACAAGAUCUUAAAAUGAGCAUGGAACAAAAAAUGGAGAGUAUUGAUAAAAGAAUUGGGAAGAUUGAUGAAAAAUUUGAAAAUUUUCAACAAAUGAUGGUGAAUCAUGAUGAGAGAAUCCAAAAAAUAGAAGAGAAAGACAAGCAAAGAGAUGACAUAAUUGGAAAUAUCGAUAGCAGAUUAACAACGGUUGAACAAGAAAAAAGUGGGAUGUUGAAGUGGGAGAUGGACAGGUCAGAAUUUUAUCUUAGAUUUCAAAAUAUUGAGGAGGAAAAAGGACAAAAUUUGGCUGCAGUAAUGAUUGAAAUCUUGGCUGGAGCCUUGGAAAUAACAGAAGAAAAAAUGAUGGAUGGAGUAGAUGAGAUAUAUCGAGUUUUCACAAGAUAUGCGACGAGGAACCAAUUACCAAGAGAGGUUCAUGUUAGAUUCACCAAAAAAACUAUUAAAACCCAAAUAUUACAAGUGGCAAGAGAGAGGGUGUUGAAGUAUAAAGACAAAGAGAUUGUGGUUUUAAAACAAGUACCUAGAAAAGUGAGAGAGAUUAGAAGAGAAUAUCGAUUUUUGACUAAAAGGCUAUUGGAAAAAGAGGUGAACUAUAGAUGGCUGAUUCCAGAAGGAUUAAUGUUUACGUGGCAAGAACAGAGAUACAGAAUUGAUUCAAUUGAGAAAGCAGAAACAUUCUACAAGGAAUUCUUUGAAAGAAGAGAAAUGGAGACAGAAAAAGAGAACAUUUCAACUGAAUCUGAAGAGGAUCAAAUGGAAAUGAGAAAAGAGGAAGGCGCAAUAGGUGGACAAGUGGAGACCAAAGAACAACGUGAAGUAAGAUCCACGAGAGCUGUUAGACCUAAAUAUAAAGUAUAACCAUGGAGGAAAAAAAAUUGAUUUCUAUCAAUAUAAAUGGACUGAAUUCAGCUAUUAAAGGAAGAAAAACCUUUCACAAAUU
rnacentral:lncRNA from 1 species